AUGAUCGAAUAUCCUUUUCCUGAUCAGUUUGCUAAGUUUCUGGCAUUUAUCUUUGCUGAGAAAGGAAGUUCUGACUUCACACUCUGAAGAAAAGGGUUAAGACAAAGUGAAAGUUGGGUCUUGAUGGACGAGCACCUGGUGGGGAGAAGGAGGAGAUUGCGAGGAGAUGGAAAGCUUGUAUAACUUCCAAAAGAUCAAUUUGUUACGCUUGAAAUUAAGAUUAUUGUCAUACAUUACAAAUCGAUAAUUUAUUAAAAUUGUACUCAUUUAGAGGUUAAGUACCAUCUUAAAAUAUCAAGAUAAUGGUUAGAUGGUCCUUUCAUUUGAUGGGUAAAAUGACCUGUGUAGCUAGUUACAUUCAGCCUGGAAAGUCAGACCUGUCCUACGUGAGCAUCUAAAUUGGGACCAAGUGGCUGAACAGAUGAUUUCUCCUUCAUCCCUGUUGAGGCUGCACUUCCUUGAUGGCCGUGGUAACAAGUUUGGGCCAUAUUUAUAAAAAUGUAAAACUCUUUCUAAUUUAAUGGGUAAGAUUCUGUAUAGUAACAAAGGAUAUAUUCCAAAUGUUUUAAAAUCAGUAUAUUUUUAAACAGUUACUAUACAUUUUGAAUACUCUAUUCUCAUAUAGAUCUGAAAAUGUUUCUAUCAAAUCAGAGGCAUGGCCUUUUAUGAUACUAUAAAGUAUCAUAAAAAUUCUAUAUCCCAAUUACCAUUUAAAGAUUGAGUACCAAAAGAGGCAAGAAUUGGAAUUUAAUAUUUAAGACAUAGCUUGGUAGAUGCAUUUGAAAAGCAAGUUGGCCUUAUGGCUCACAGAAUACCCUUAGUUCUGGCCCCCUUUUUGUGGGAAAGUCCCGCUGCAGACGCAGCUUGCAGUGUAUUUUUGGCCUGGUUACCAUGAAAAGUAUGAGAUGAGGAUGAGAUGAGAGAGAUGAAAUGGUUGGAUGGCAUCACCGACUCUAUGGACAUGACUUUGAGCAAGCUCCGGGAGUUGGUGAUGGACAGGGAAGCCUGGCGUGUGCAGUCUUAUGGGGUCACAAAGAGUCAGACACGAUUAAGCGACCGAACUGAACUGACCAUGAAAAGUACAAAGAGAGGGCCCAUGAUCAGGGUUGCCCAUCCCUGUGGAGUCACUAGAGCCAAGCAGGACACCCUGGCCUAAGGCUGUCCUCAGGGCCUUCUGGGAUGAGCCGGUCAAUAUGGAGAAUCUCAUUUACAGAAAAUUCCAUCAGUUGCUCCAGUGGUUUUAUCACAGUACUGUGUUUGAAAAAAUCUUUAAAUGCAAAAGGAAAGAGCCAUCCAAAUGAAUAGCAACUGUGGAAAGGCUACAGUAACUUUAUCUGAAGAGUCUGUUACCAUCUCACACAGGCACAUGAACUUUUUGAGUCAGACAGAAAUUGCCAUUAAUUUGUGCAAUACUAACUUUGUAAAUAAUAAUUAAGCUGGCAAAUGUACUUACUCUUCAGAGAAAGAAGGUGGUAUGAAGGGGUAAGAAGAUACCAAGCACUGAGGAUAUUAAGGUAGACUGACCUGCAGGGACCAGAGAAUUCAAUUCUGAAAUAAAACUUGGACAUAUCUUAACAGGAAGGGCAGAGCAUGCCAAGACUGGCACAAAG
ensembl:lncRNA